AAAAAAAGAAAAAAAGAAAAAAAAAGAAGAAAGAGAGGUAGAAGUUAGAGAUAGAAGAGAGAAAAAAAGCGUAAAGAAAGAAUUGAAGAAAAAAACAAAAAAAUAAAAAAUAAAAAAAUAAUGAAAAAGGAGAAAAGGAAAAAGAAAAAAAAUGAUGGUAAAUGCAAGUAUACUGAGUGAUUAUGAUAUUUCAGUUCUCAUCCAUAAUUUGUACUCGACUUAAUCAUUAUCUUCAAAAAUAAAAAAAAUAUAAAACAUAAAAUAAAAUUAAAAAAAAAAGAGAAAGAAGUAAAAAUAAAACAAAAUGAAAACUAGAAAAAAAGGAGACAAAAGGAAAAGAAUAAAAAAGUAAAAAGAAAGAGAAGCAAAGGGUAGAGAUAGAAGAGAGAAAAAAAAAAAGAAAUGAAAAAAAUAAAAAAAUAAAACUAGAGGCUACAUAUAGAAGAGAGAAAGAAAAAAAUUAAAAAGCAAAAAACUAAAAAAACAAACAAACAAAAAAAAAAGUCAAGUUGAUAUGAUAUAGAAGUUUUAAGUUUUUGACUUUAGGAGUUAAAGUGGGUUGGAACCAUUUUUACCCAAUCCAUAUUUGAUCAAAUCCAUAUUUACCCAUAUUUAUAUGGGCGGAUUGCAAUGCAAACCAUUUUUGCUCGAUCCAUAUUCAACCCGUCCAAAUUCAAUCCAAUCCUUCCAUUUGCCACCCCUAGUUGUUUCUAUUUCACCGGAGCUCCGACGAGCUCCAAACAACGACAAACGUGACGGGUUGGUCAGUUUCAAUCGGAUUUUGGGUGUUCCCACUUGUUUCAGCGUUUCUGGUUGUUUGGCAGUGGUGGGGUGGUGUUUUCCGGCGAGGGAUGAAUGAUUCUAGCGAGCAAUUCGUCGGAAAAUUCAAGCCAGUCAACUGGAAUGCCUCUGUUCACUGUUUUCACCCUUCUUACUUGAUUUUUCUCUCUCUCUCUCUCAAUUGGUUGUUUGUAUUUGUGUGUGUGCCCCUUUCCAGUGAGGUGUGUGAAUUACUGUGUAUUGUGUAUAUGGGUAUGUGUGUAGUGUUUUCGGCGAGCUAUACGAUUGUGUGAGUCUGUGCGUCGUUAAUGGAAGAAGAUGGUGAGUAUGUGUGCCUUUCUAUUCCAGUGAGGAUCCAUGUGUGUAAUUGUUGCUUUUUAAUGAGAAAAAAAUUGGAGUCCAGUGAUUGUGUCCAAUUCCCCCCGCCCCCCUUCUUUUGAUAGUGUGCAGUGUUUGUAUAUAUUGUUAAAGCUGAAAAACAAAAUGUGAAGGGAGGGGUGCAUGGGUAGGUAUGUAGUUACGAGGUAGGGGUGGUGAGGUGGAGGUAGGGUGUGAUGUGAUCAAAAUAGUUAGGGUGGGUGGUGAAUUUGGUGAGGGUUUGUUAGGAUAAGGUGGUUAUAAAUUUGUUACAAAUUGUUACUUGAAUUCUUUUAGGGAGAAUAUUAAAUGGGUGACGGUGUAUGGUAAUGAUGCGGUAAAUUUGAUAAUGCGGUGUUCGGGAGAGACAAAAUUACGUGUCUACACCUCAAACUUUCAGACACUUCAAACGCACUCAACAGUUUGAUGAUCACAAGAGAGUUUUUAAGAAUAAAAAGAAUGUUUUCAACUCUAAAAAUUAUUGUCUUUACCUGAGGAAAAACUAAGGUAUUUAUAGUGAUCAAGGUGUUGCUUCAUGAAGAGAAACAAUGGUUCAGAAAGUUGUAACUCUUCGGAAAGUCACAACCCAUUAGAAUGGUUAUAACCAUUCAAUCCGAAAAAGUGUUUAUUCAAAUUGCAUUGUUUCUCUUAUUGUCUUUCCUGAAAAAACAUCACUUUUUCAUUUUCCAUUCACACCUCUUAAUAAUCCAACAUAGUAUACCUUCGAUGAAGGGUAAUGUCUUUCCUGCAAUCACUCGCGACAUUUCAUUCCUCUGUUAACAGAGUGAGUUUUUUCACUGGCCAACUUUGCAGUUCAAAGACAUUAGUGUUUCCAAAUAUUGCCUACUAAGUGAAUCUCCGGAGGUUCUUUUUGGGUCGUGUGUGUGUCUGGAGGAGGGAUAUAAUAGUUGCAACAUUUUGGAUGGAGUGAUGAUGAAUAGUGAAUCCAACCUUUUCCUAACAGCUAUAUGGAUCCGAGCCCGUAGAAUUGGAGUCUGUUUUGUUGUUCCAACUCUGUGCAUGUGUUAGGCUCUUUAAUGACUUAGCUUUCAUCGUACCAUUUUUCCUCGAGGAAGAGGGUUGCUGGACGUGGCUCAUCUUAUUGGAAGCAAGUUGCAUAAAUAGUUUGUUACUACUAUUAAGUUAAAAAUAGGUGUUUCAAUUAGACAGGUCCACUUUCGGUAUAUCUUCCUACGUUGUUUUUGACAUAUAUCAAAGAAAAGAAAGUAAAAGGGGAUUAGGUGAGACAAAAAAAAAUAGGAUAAAAUGUUGCGACUUACAGCGACUUCUGUUAUGGCCAAGCAACUUACGAGUGCGGCUAAGCGGCUUACAAGUUGCUUAUGGCCAAGCAACUUACGAGUGUGGCUAAGCAACUUACGAGCGCGGCUAAGCGGCUUACAAGUUGCUUAUGACCAGCAACUUGCAAGUCUUUUAAUAUUUAUUUUAUUUUAUUUGCGUUCUAAAAUUCCAUGACAAAAAUCAGUUUUCACAAUUAUACAACUCUUAAAGCACAUUUAACAUGUGAAAGCACAUAUAUUUAGACUUAGGCAUAGAAUUUCACGUUAAAGCACAUAUAUUUGGAUGUAUGCACCUUUCCCAUAUUUUUUUCCCCUAAACUUGUCUGCUCAACUUACUUUAACACUUAAACUAAACUUCUAUUUAUUUACCCCCUUAACAUCUUUAAAAUGUAUUAGUUUCACCCCUCAAAACUGAAUAUCACUCUCACAACGGAGAGUGUAUUACACUCGCCUACACAUCAACGCCACGUCAAUGCCACAUCGAAGCAAUGUCAUUGUCACGUAAGAAAUUACUAUUUUAUGUACUAUUUUAUUUAUAUAAAUAUAUANNNNNNNNNNNNNNNNNNNNNNNNNNNNNNNNNNNNNNNNNNNNNNNNNNNNNNNNNNNNNNNNNNNNNNNNNNNNNNNNNNNNNNNNNNNNNNNNNNNNNNNNNNNNNNNNNNNNNNNNNNNNNNNNNNNNNNNNNNNNNNNNNNNNNNNNNNNNNNNNNNNNNNNNNNNNNNNNNNNNNNNNNNNNNNNNNNNNNNNNNNNNNNNNNNNNNNNNNNNNNNNNNNNNNNNNNNNNNNNNNNNNNNNNNNNNNNNNNNNNNNNNNNNNNNNNNAAAUGCAGCCCCCCUCCUCCUCCUCUUCCAGCGCCCCACCCCUCACAUAUUACUCAUAAUUAUUCAAAAUUCAAAAUCAAUUCAGUAUUUUCAUAAUUCAACAACUCAUCUAACCAAAUAACACCAUAUACGCUAACAAAGAACAAUUCUAUACUGGUAACAAUCAAAAUCAGAAAAAAACAAAGUCAAAAAAAAAAAUUUAUUGAAGGAAAAUGUUAAUGGAGGAAUUUGAGUGUUGUUGAUGUUUUGGAGAAGAAAAGGUGUCUAUUUUUUAUUUUUAAAAUUUUUUUAUUGUAUUUUAAACAUAAUAUUAUUAAAAUUAAUUUUUUCUUACAAAUAAACGCGCCUCUUAUUUUAAGAAAAUGUCACAUCAGCAUUAGAGGGAAAAUAAAUAUACUUUAAAAAUAUUAAAGGAGUGAAUAAAUAAAAAUUUAAUUUAAGUGUUAAAAUAAAUUGAACGGACUAGUUAGGAGAAAUCAUGUCUUUUCUCUUCCCUAUAUGAUAAUGAAUUCAUAUGAGUUGACAUGAAAGCACAUUCACGUGAAAGUCUUGGGUGAAGGAGUUGACACAUGAAAGCAUUGGAAAAAGGUUAAGUAAAUUAGUGUUACUGUAUAUUUGACUCUACUCCACUUUUCAAUUGCAUGAACAUUCUAGCAAAAUACAAACUAAAUUUAGGCGUCCUCCAUAAGCAAAACGCUAUGAAUCCUUUACAGUUGUUGAAGUUACAACCUGAACAUCGAUCUCAAGCAAUUUAGAAUGGUGCCGAAGAGCAAGCGUGUUUAAUUGUCUGUCAGGUCGAUACUGAAUUUUUGUAAUACAUAACGUAUUGUCUAUUGUAUCAUUACAUUCUUCAAAAUGUAAGUUUUUGUGGAUUUAGAGGAGUUUUAGAGGUAGAAAUACUUGGAGUUCCUAGCCAAAAAGGCUCUUUCUUUUUAAAUAAAAUUUUUUAAAAGGGACACUUAAUUAAAAAAAGAAAAUCAAAGGGGACAAAACGCUUGGGGUUCAGCAACUUGCAAGUGACUUGCAUGACGUGAUUUUCACUCAUGCAGUAUGUAUCUACAUGUGAGUUUCUUUGUAAUGCAACACGUGAAGGUCUAAAAUGCAUAAAGUUAACUAAUGUCAUGCUUAUAUAAAUUCUCAAGCCCUAUUCUCUAGUGUAGAAAAAUCUAUAUUCUCAAGUGCAAAGACAUUAUAAAUAAAAAAAAAUCAUUUUAGAAUAUUCUAUCAUAAUACAAGUUAAGGCAUUCUCAGUAGUAAGGUAUGUUAAUGUUAAGGUAAAUUUUUUUUGUCAUCUUUUAUUUUGAAGUACAAAAAUAUUACAUCAAAUUCUAAGCUUAAAUAUUACAUUCUUUAAAUAAUUUUUAUUAAUUUUACUUUUGAUCAUAACAAACUGAUUUUCUUGUAUAUAGAUACAAGAUAAAUACCGAUCUCAAAUAGUUUGGGACAACGAGGGACAAAAAGUGUUUUAAGUACCCAUUGUGCCGAUACCGAAUUUUGACAACACAAAAAGCAGCGUCCAUUGCAUUGUCGAAUCCUUCGAUAUUCAAGUUUGGCAGCGUAAAUGCAUUGGACGUUGCUUUAUGUGCUGUCAAAAUUCAGUAUCGGCACGACGGGUACUUAAACACACUUCUUGUCCCUCGUUGUCCCAAACUGUUUAAGAUCGGUGUUUAUCUUGUAAUUUUAACAGCUCCAUUAUAAUUUAUACCUUAGCUUAGCUAACUAACAGAUCCAUUAUAAUUUAUACUAAGGCAUGGAUCAAUGCACGCCUUUACCAAUUUGAAAUCUUUCNNNNNNNNNNNNNNNNNNNNNNNNNNNNNNNNNNNNNNNNNNNNAACUCUUUACUCAUAUCCAAUGUUUUCAACGUGUUAACUCCUUCCACCGAGACUUUUACGUGAAUGUGCUUUCUUGAGAACCCGCACCAUAUGGGGAAAGCUGUUUUUAAACAAGAAAUUUUAUAAAGCAAAAAAAGAAAAAUUAAAAGACUUGCAAGUUGUUGGGGGCAUAAGCAACUUGUAAGUCGUUUGGCCAUAAGCACCUAGUAAGUCAAUUGGCCACAGUCAGCUUGUAAGUCGAUUGUUCAUAGGCACAUGUAAUUCGCUUGACAAUAGGCGACUUGCUUUCUAAACUGACAGUUUCUAACAUAUUCUUGGCAGGGUUACUAAAAGCAUAAGUAUAAGUUGUUUUGAAGUAUUUUGUCCUAUUUGGUUUCUUUGAAAAACAAGUGUUUCUUUGAUAUUUUAGCUAAAAUAAAAAAGGGAGAAUAUAAAAAAUAGAGACUUUCAAAUUUUAACUCCAAAUAAAAAGGUUUUAUUAAAAUAGCCCUUACUUAUUAAGUCAUAUUUUAUUGGACGAAAUUACCCCUCAAUAUAUCUUUCUUCCAAAACAAAAAAAAUCACUUUCUUCCCAAACAAAACAUCGAUCGCUCUUUCUUCCAAAACAAAACAAUCACCAUAAGGUUUCUUCAGGUAAGAACACAUCUAAUUUGCCGUAAAUUUUAGCUUAUUGAUGCAUUGCGGUAAAUUUUAGCUCGUUAUAUAAUUAACAUAUUAAUUUGAUUUUGGGGGAGGUGAACGUAAGCUGAAGUCGGGCUAUGCUAUUGUUGUAGUAACAUAUUUUUCAUUGAGGAAUUGUGUCGAACAGGUUUUGAGGAGUUCGUUAUUGCAAUUAUAAUUGUGUUUGAGUAGUUGCGGGGGGUUGGUCUUAGAUGGAAAGGCCGUUAAUAUGGGAGUUAACGUUGAUCGUAAUAUUUUUUGAUAAGGCCAAACGGAUAAUGUCAAGGUGGUAAAAGAAAUUAGUUUCAAGUAUUUCAAACUAGUGGUAUAAUUAGCAUUAGAAGAUGAUAAGGAAUUGUUUGAAGAUGAUAAAGAUUUAUGCCAUUGAUGUUACUAGUGGUAUUAUUGGGGUUUGUUAUAGUUACUUUUCUGUUAGUACUAUAUGUUGUUCCUUGUACUUCCUUUACUUCUUUGUUGGGUUACAUUGGACUGUUUUCCUCUUGAGCCAGAAGGUCGAUUGGAUAUAUCCUCGCUACCUAUGAGUUGGAAUAAGGUAGGGGUAAUUUUUCUUACACUCUACCCUCUCCCUGACUCCACUUUAUGGGAUUACACUAGGUAUGUUGAUGAUGUUGUUGUUGUCUUUUGAGAUUUCUAUUUGUUAUAAUUCUUUAUUUGUUUUGUUCUGUAGCUUUGGUUGCUUUUAUAAACAAGUUUUCUUUUGCUGUGAUUUUGUUGACUUGAUGAUGCUACUUGUUUGUUCAAAUUAUAUUCGUAACUCAUAAAGUUUACUCUGUGUUCUUUACAUUUCCUUCGACGAACAUCUUUGGCAAUUUUUUCCUAAUUUAAUUAGUUUUAACUGUCAAUUAUCAAGUUGUAUUUGCUCAAGUUUGUUGUUGAUUAAAAAAUUUCAUCUUUCACUCAAUUUUUGCAGCUGCAUAUGAACAAUUUGCAUUUGGUAGAAUGUAUAUACUUUUGGUUUUACAUAAAGUAAGGUCAUUGCACGCGUAUGUAUAGCAUACUAGAUUGCCUAUUGUGGAAGCGCACACAUGUAUAGCAUACUAGGUUGCCCGUUGUGGAAGUGCACUAAAAUGGUUUUAUUGCUUUUAUUAUUCCAUCGUUGUAGAAUUUUGGUGUUUGUUGGGGGUGAAACUGUUGGUGCUCGCGCUAAAUUAGUAUAUGAACUGCUUUUUGUCCGAGUAGAGGCUUUAGUGAUGAGUUUUAACUUAUGCCUAUGUUCCCAUUGCAACUUAUGCUUAUUUUAUUUUACAGAAAGCAAGUGUCAAUUUACACAUAUAUAUCAUACUAUGUUGCGUAUUAUGGAAGUGAACUAAAAUGCUUUCAAUGUUCAUAAAAGAUUUAUAGUAAUACCAAAGGCACAAAACUCAAGAAUAGUCAGUACAUCCUUAUUUUUCAAGGCCAUACUAACAGAGUAUUGAGUUGAUAAACUAUGUUGUAUCACUUGCAACCUAUCUCUAAAGUAAACAACCCUCUCAGAAUCAUCCCUGUAGUGUGUAUUAUUCAGUAGUUUCAAGUAAGAUUUUAGCAUCUUCAGAUUCUGCCAUACAUUUCUUUUAGCAUCUUCAGAUUCUGCCAUACAUUUCAAGUUAUGCCCCAUGGGCAAGAGUUAACACCGCCUUAGUCUGUAAUGAUUUGACAGAUGACCUGUAACUUUUGCCCUAGAGGCAAAACUUAGACAGUUAUGCCCCAUGGAAAAGAGUUGACACUGCCUUAGUCUGUAAUGAUUUGACAGAUGACCUAUAACUCUUGCCCUAGAGGCAAGAUUUUGACAGUUAUGCCCCUUAGGCAAUAGUUGACUAUACCUCACUUU
rnacentral:lncRNA from 1 species